rnacentral:misc_RNA from 1 species
AAGUCGUAACAAGGUUUCCGUAGGUGAACCUGCGGAAGGAUCAUUAUCAUAACGUAUCCACGUAUAAACCAACUUUAAAUUGAUGUGAAACGUAACUGUUUUAACACCUCGAGAUAAUCAGAUGAUUGCUAUACUUUACAUUGUUUGCGUGAUUAAAGCAAAAACGGUUUAGUAUGGACCUGUGCCUGUAACAAGGUGCUAGCGCUGAUUAUUUGGAGUGUAAAAAUUUAAUCAACUAUUAACCCAUUGAACCGAAUUACUAUAUUCUUAACUGAGUUUAGUUAUUCAUUUUAAUUUCUAUUGUGUGAACUGAAUUGUCUACUUACUUGACACCGUCAUUGGUGGAGAGAAGUCGAUUAUAUUUACGAAACAUUAUAAAUUUCUAUGAACAACUCAUAGCAACGGAUAUCUUGGUUCUC